AUCCAGAUGACGAGUUCCAAAUAGAAUGAAACGCUUGUCAAACUGGAU
rnacentral:hammerhead_ribozyme from 1 species